rnacentral:rRNA from 1 species
UACGUAGGGGGCAAGCGGUUGUCCGGAUUUAUUGGGCGUAAAGAGCGUGUAGGCGGCCAUACAGGUCAGCCUGUGAAAACUCGAGGCUCAACCUCGAGACGUCGGUUGAAACCGUAUGGCUAGAGUCCGGAAGAGGAGAGUGGAAUUCCCGGUGUAGCGGUGAAAUGCGCAGAUAUCGGGAAGAACACCCGUGGCGAAGGCGGCUCUCUGGGACGGUACUGACGCUGAGACGGCGAAAAGCGUGGGGGAGCGAACAGGG